UAGAUACCCUGGUAGUCCACGCCCUAAACGAUGUCAAUUAGCUGUUGGGCAACUUGAUUGCUUAGUAGCGUAGCUAACGCGUGAAAUUGACCGCCUGGGGAGUACGGUCGCAAGAUUAAAACCAAGAAUGAUCGGGGACCCGCACAAGCGGUGGAUGAUGUGGAUUAAUUCGAUGCAACGCGAAGAACCUUACCUGGUCUUGACAUGUACGGAAUCCUCCAGAGACGGAGGAGUGCCUUCGGGAACCGUA
rnacentral:rRNA from 1 species